AGUGAACGCUGGCGGCGUGCCUAAUACAUGCAAGUCGAACGGAGUGGCGCACGGGUGAGUAAUAUAUAGCUAAUCUGCCCCUUGCUGGAGGACAACAGUUAGAAAUGACUGCUAAUACUCCAUAGCAAGGGAUGAGACUAUAUCGUAUCAGCUAGUCGGUGGGGUAACGGCCUACCGGGGCUAUGACGCGUAACUGGUCUGAGAGGAUGAUCAGUCACAGUGGAACGGGGAAACGGUACAAACUCCUACGGAAGGCAGCAGUGGGGAAUAUUGCGCAAUGGGGGAAACCCUGACGCAGCAACGCCGCGUGGGGGAUGACACUUUGCGGAACGUAAACUCCUUUUGUUAGGUAAGCGGUACCUAACGAAUAAGCACCGGCUAACUCCGUGCCAGCCGCCGCGGUAAUAC
rnacentral:rRNA from 1 species